GCUUUCUCAGCUUAAGUUGCUUGUUGAAAGGGAAAGAAGGAGCGAAACGAGAUAGAGACUGAAAGGAAAGAAUAGCAGCAGCCAUGUUUUGCUUGCAAAAAUUCCAGAUUCCAAAUGCAAUUGGAUCCACAAGCUAUAUCCUAUACGCUGAAGCGUGGAGGGGUUUUCUUCAACUGUGGAGAGUUGUAAGUCUUGCAUGUUUAAUCUUUUGAUAUGAUUUCUUAGACAGAUAAAGUCUCAUGGACAUUGAUAGUUGUUGGACAUGGCAUGCCUGUGUUUGCAAAUGAAGGCAUUGCUGCUACCUUCAACGAGAUAAGGGAUGCGGCAUGGAGUCUAAUGAAGGAUCCUUCAUUUCAUUUCUAUAUUGCAUGCUAGGAGUCAUUCUGGAUUACUUUAGGAAGAUUGGGGAUUCUUCUACAUAGUGAGAAAUGAUUGCAACAUUCAUGUGUGGUAAACUUUCAAACGCAUACGAAUUAAUUGAAAAGAAUAUCUAUUAGAAUUCA